rnacentral:misc_RNA from 1 species
UGUUUUUAUUAUUAAUAGAAAUUUGAUCAUCUGCAAAGAGAAGAAAACUGUUCUAAACUUUGAACGACCCAGAAUAUUAUUUGUUAAUGAAUCGUUUGCCAAAGAUGCAUCUUUAACUGCGAGAAGAUAUAAUCGAUCAAAUCCACUUUAUUUUGUUUCCGCGGAAUUUGAAUUGCUGCGACCUAUGGACAAUUCUUUUGUGUUCAAUAUCUACAUAUACCAGCUCGUUACUAGACUAUAUAAACAAAGUUUUAUAGAUUAUCGCAUAGGUUCCUGUGACAU